CGGAUCGUAAAGCUCUGUUGUGAGGAAGAACAAGUACGGAGUAACUGUCCGUACCUUGACGGUACCUCAUUAGAAAGCCACGGCUAACUACGUGCCAGCAGCCGCGGUAAUACGUAGGUGGCAAGCGUUGUCCGGAAUUAUUGGGCGUAAAGCGCGCGCAGGCGGUCCUUUAAGUCUGAUGUGAAAGCCCAUGGCUCAACCGUGGAAGGUCAUUGGAAACUGGAGGACUUGAGUACAGAAGAGGAAAGCGGAAUUCCACGUGUAGCGGUGAAAUGCGUAGAGAUGUGGAGGAACACCAGUGGCGAAGGCGGCUUUCUGGUCUGUAACUGACGCUGAGGCGCGAAAGCGUGGGGAGCAAACAGGAUUAGAUACCCUGGUAGUCCACGCCGUAAACGAUGAGUGCUAAGUGUUAGGGGGUUUCCGCCCCUUAGUGCUGCAGCUAACGCAUUAAGCACUCCGCCUGGGGAGUACGGCCGCAAGGCUG
rnacentral:rRNA from 1 species